UUUUUUUUUUUUUGUGUGGCCACUGAGGGGAUUGGCGCUGGCUCAUGGGGUGCGAUUGACCCCAAGUUUUUUUUUUUUUUUUUCUUUAGCAUUCACUCUUCUCUCAUGGCCCACCACCUGGGGUCUCGCUUUACCGGUUCCCUUUCACCCGCUGGCUCAUGGGGUGCGAUUGACCCCAAGUAUUUUUUUUUUUUCUGUAGCAUUCACUCUUCUCUCAUGGCCCACCACCGGGGGUCUCGUUUUUCCGGUUCCCUUCCACCCGCUGGCUCAUGGGGUGCGAUUGACCCCAAGUAUUUUUUUUUUCUUUAGCAUUCACUCUUCUCUCAUGGCCCACCACCGGGGGUCUCGUUUUUCCGGUUCCCUUUCACCCGCUGGCUCAUGGGGUGCGAUUGACCCCAAGUAUUUUUUUUUUUCUUUAGCAUUCACUCUUCUCUCAUGGCCCACCACCGGGGCUCUCGCUUUUCCGGUUCCCUUCCACCCGCUGGCUCAUGGGGUGCGAUUGACCCCAAGUAUUUUUUUUUUCUUUAGCAUUCACUUUUCUACAUCACCCUUGAGGCUUUUCGAAGUGUACUGUUUGUGUUUACGUUUCUUUUUUUUUUAUGUGAUCAAGAAAGGUCAAGAGAAACAAAUGAACAAACCUAAAUGGUUUUCUGCUGCUUUUUUUUUAAAAAAAAUAACCGGAAGCAAUUUCGGCUUCCAUAGUUUUCUUCUUCCGUUACUAGCUAGUUAGUUCAAACCAAUUUGGUCUCCAGAGAAGAUGCUCUGGUUGUUUUUGCUGUCCUGCAGUCUGGUUCUGUCCAAUUCCGGACAGACAGUCAACGGUGAGUGGCUCGACCCGUUUGACAUGCUAAACUACGAGGCGAGGACCAAAACAAUGAAGAACUCUGAGGUUGGUCAACGUGGGAUGUUCGUCAAAUCCAACUUCUUUGAAACAACUUAUUUUUUUUGAUAUUCAGUUAAUCUUACUUGCCCCACAGUCACAAGCCAGCAACACUGGUGCUGCUGAUCCGCAGCAAAGGGAGAAGGUAAACCAGCCUGUGGCCCACUGUAACCCACAUGUCAUGGAUCUACAGAAACAGAGCUGCAUGAAGGUUCUUUGGACCGUUUCAUUUCCACCCCACUCUGUUGGUGCUACGGCGAGCGGGAGGUCUGGGUCAUCAAAGUAACGUCACAGCAGACAGCUCUGGCUGCCAUUCCUUGUAUAUGGUAUUCACUUCAUUUAACCUGUGUAUAUGCUGACCAAAAUCAUGUAACCUUUGUGUGUGGUAAUCACUUUAUCUAACGUGUAUAUACUGACCAUUAUACGAUUAAAAAUGUACACACCAAUGUAUUUUUUUUUUAAUUUUUCAAUCUUUAAAAACCGAGAUUGUGUGAUGUAUCCAAUAAUUAGAAAAAUAUCUCUUCAAAUAGUCAUGUUGGGACAAAACCCAUGAGCAAAAAAGAAAGCGAAUAUGCAACGUUGAGGUUCCAGUUUGACUUUUAUUCGAACAAGGCAAAAAAAAAA